UACGAAGGGUGCAAGCGUUACUCGGAAUUACUGGGCGUAAAGCGUGCGUAGGUGGUUCGUUGUGUCUGUGGUGAAAGCCCCGGGCUUAACCUGGGAAUGGCCAUGGAAACUGGCGAGCUGGAGUGUGGCAGAGGGGGGUGGAAUUCCGCGUGUAGCGGUGAAAUGCGUAGAUAUCUGGAGGAACACCGGUGGCGAAGGCGGCAUCCUGGACCGAGAGUGACGCUGAGGCGCGAAAGCCAGGGGAGCAAACGGG
rnacentral:rRNA from 1 species